AGUGGCUGCUGGCUCAGCACCGUCUCCCUGGGACUCAGACGAUGCCUGUGGAAGGUUCGAGGGCUGACCCGGGAGUCCGGGGACAGCUCCUGGUGCCCUGGGAUCCUGGCUCUCCGGAAGGCUUCCCUGGCCUUGGACUUGAGGUCCUGUGUCCCCAACAGUUACUGAGCCUCUGCAAGUGCCAGCAGGGCCCCACACCUCUUCCUGCUGUGUGUGCUCACACCAGAGGUCUCCUGUCUCUGUUCAGAAGGAGGCGGACCCCUCCAGACAGGCAGUGCCUCUGUCUUCUCGAGUCCACGCGGUGUGGGCCUUGUUUACGCUGGGCCACAAACCUCACAGAGGUUCUGAGGUUUCUCUGUUGUCCUGUUAUCUACAUAGGUGAGGUCAGAGAGGUGUUCCUCUGCACUGACGGCCGAUGUCAGUCAUUUACACUUGAGUAUGAAUGAGGCCCUGAUGCUGAUCUGGCUACUAGGAGCUGGUGUGGACAUAAGGUCUCACUGUCUGACCCUUACUUUGAAGACCAACCGAAACAGGUGUUGCUACCUGCCUGGUGGGAGGGUCUCUGGCAACUUCCAGUCCACUAAGUGCAGGAGGAAACUGAGCACAUCUGAGGCCCAUAGGGGUCCUCGAGGUCAGCUCCACGUCUUGUGGUUCUAGUCGUAGCCCGGACUGAGACCGGUUGCCCCAAGGCCCCCCCCUUUUGGGACUCCUCAUGCCCCGUUUGCACCUAGAGGCCUUGGCUGGUUUGGGAAUCCUGCUUCCCAGGCUCUGUUCCAGGCUCUGUUCCAGGCUCUGUUCCAGGGUCACCAUGGAAGCCCUUCUGCUUCUCAAAUUCCUGGCAGAUUCCUGUGCUCAGGGCUUCAGUGACAGAGGCUGGACCUGAUGCACAAAGGAGCACGUGCUGCUGCCUUGUCGGGGCUCUGGGAACCCGGUCAGCAGGCUUGUCCCUGCAGUGGCGCUUCCAGGGUCCGCGUGGGUCACUGUUGCAAAGGGGCGCGCUGCCCUCGCUGUGCCCUUCCUUGCGGAUCCGUAUCCAGCAAGCACUCCGCACCCCGCGAAUCCUCAUGACGCUCGUCAGAGGGAGAUGCUUUUGUUCCUGUUUUAGAGGUAGACGAGGCUCAGGGAAGGGGCACGCCCAGGGCCCCCGGGCAGGUGGAUCAGAGCAGGACCAUGAGCCCCGAGCCUGUUCUCUGACCCCUGACACUCAGACCCCAGAGCUGCUGGUUCUCCGGGAUUCUGGGCCAUCGGCUGCGGCCCAGGCGGGCCGGGCUCUGGCUGGUGGAGACAGGCACGCGGGGCCCCUGGGGCUGGUCUCUCCCUCCCUUGGCCGUCGGCCGAGUCACCAGGAGCGCGGCCGUGGGGCUCAGCUCCAGGCUGUUCCUUUUCUCCCACCAAAGCUCCUCGGCUACCGUUACUCCCGGCACCUGCCUCCCCGAGCAGACCAAGAAAGAGCCUGGGAGCGACGCGGUCGGGACAAGGGUCCCUUGGGGUCCAGACCCCUGCCCAGGACCCCGUGCUCUGUGUCCAAGCUGCUCUUCUGAUUUAUUGGACGCCACCUUUCAAGUGACAUUAAAAACCACCCCUGAAGUUCCUGAAUCCCGUCCACUGGCUCCCUACCUGGAACUGCUGGGGACCGUCAGGACGGGGUGCCCAGCCCCGGCGGCCUGAGCGUGGACAGGGACUCAGGGCGGCCCAGCAGGACAGGAGACAAGGGGCACCUUCGGCAUCCCCCUCGCCUUCCGUGCCAUUGCCCUUGCACGAGAUGGCGGGCCUCCAGUGACAGUGUCCCCAUCCUGGAAGUUCCGUGCUGGCCGCAAGUUAGCUCUGGGGCCCGGGCUCUUCCCUGGGCUCCGGUGAGGGCCACCGAGUCGCCGCCUGGACGUGCAGGCUCUGGACGCAGCACACACGUGCUCCUCUGAAAUUCCAAAUUGCGAAAACUUCGUCUCAAUCAGCGUAGCAGAGAGUUUGGAGAGGGGGCGGUAGGCGCUGGGAAUUAAACGGCACCUUUUGGCAUCGCACGUCGGUGAGGCGGCCAACUGAUUAUUUUUAUAUUACAAUCCCCAGGCGUUGUCAAAUUGAUUAAUAAAUUCGCUGAAAACCCA